GUCCACACGGUAAACGAUGGAUGCUCGCUGUUGGCCUUGUUGGUCAGUGGCUUAGGGAAACCGUUAAGCAUCCCACCUGGGGAGUACGCCGGCAACGGUGAAACUCAAAGGAAUUGACGGGGCCCGCACAAGCGGAGGAGCAUGUGGUUUAAUUCGAAGCAACGCGCAGAACCUUACCACCUUUUGACAUGCCUGGACCGCCACAGAGAUGUGGUUUCCCUUCGGGGACUAGGACACAGGUGCUGCAUGGCUGUCGU
rnacentral:rRNA from 1 species